UUUUAAAUAUAAUUAUGCCUCAUGUAAUAUUGGGGAAAUACUUAUAAUAAAA
rnacentral:pre_miRNA from 1 species